rnacentral:rRNA from 1 species
UACGUAGGGGGCUAGCGUUGUCCGGAAUCAUUGGGCGUAAAGCGCGUGUAGGCGGCCCGGUAAGUCCGCUGUGAAAGUCGGGGGCUCAACCCUCGAAAGCCGGUGGAUACUGUCGGGCUCGAGUACGGAAGAGGCGAGUGGAAUUCCUGGUGUAGCGGUGAAAUGCGCAGAUAUCAGGAGGAACACCGGUGGCGAAGGCGGGUCUCUGGGCAGUAACUGACGCUGAGGAGCGAAAGCGUGGGGAGCGAACAGG